AGUGGCACAGUGUGCAAUGCCCAUGGAUUCUACAACCCCAAGGACUCCAGGCUCUAGGGACCACUUUGCUCCCAGCCUCACCGUGGCUUCACAACCCUGCAUGCUCCUUGUGUCUGGCAGUCCUGCUUUCAUCUACCAUGUGAGUAUGGGGCCACACCCUGCUCCUCAAGGGCAGCCUGCUUGGGGCCCACUCUUCAUCCUCUCUCUCAGGCCUGAUUCCAGCUUCCAUGGCCCAGGACCCCCAGCCGGGCUAGGCUUCUUCCUUUCCAGUCUACAACUCCUUUCAGUUCUGCUGCUGCUGCCACCAGUGAAUGAGAGGUAAUUUUCAAAGUUCUGGACCCAGCCAUUCUGGUGGAGAGCCCAAACAACCCCAAGAUUCAGGGUAAUAAUCCCCACAGCCAAUCCUGUAUCCUUGCAUGUCAAGAUAGCCAGAUACUGGGGGGAAGGUGAGGUCCUCCCUGGGUGUAUACACAAGUGGGGCAGAAUGGCAGGCAAGCCAGCAUCAUUCCCCAGCUCUGCCCCAUCAUAGUCCCCUAUUGUGAGCCCUGUUUUGGCUCCCCCAUUCCUGUCCCAUCGUUGUUCCCCACACCCGUGCCCAGUGCAUAGAACAGGCAUGUGUAGCAGUUUCCAUUCUCUGUCCUAUCUGCCCCAUCAUAACUCCUUUAUGGGGCCCCAUUGUGGUUCCCAUCACUACUUUCUAUGUCAGCCCCCAACUAUGUACCCCAUCACUGCACUUAUCACUGAACCUUGUAACUGUCCCCUCUUUGAGUCUCCGUCACUGCUCCCAUUCUGGUUUCCUGGGAUUGCCCUCCCCUGAUUCAUCACCAGGGCCUUAGGUGGUACCCUACAUCUCUGCAGCUACCUCUAAGUGGUGCCAGGAUGUCUGGGUUGUGACUUCUUUCUUGUAAAGCCAAAGUCUUGAAAGAAGAGACAUAACCAAAACCCAGCAGGGCAGCCCAGAGUCAGUUCAGGUGAGUACCAGAGCAGGACAUACCCCAACCUAGCUUUUUCUCUGUACUCUCCACCCAUCUUGACGGGUUAUUACCAACUACUCGCUGAGUUCCCAUAUUAGGUUUCUUUUCUUUUCUUUUCUUUUCUUUUCUUUUCUUUUCUUUUCUUUUCUUUUCUUUUUUUUCUUUUCUUUUUUUCUUUUCUUUUCUUUUCUUUUUUUCUUUUCUUCUUAUUUUUAUUUAUUUAUGAUAGUCACACACAGAGAGAGAGAGAGGCAGAGACAUAGGCAGAGGGAGAAGCAUGCCCUGGGAAGAAGCUCCCAUGCACUGGGAGCCUGACGUGGGAUUCGAUCCCGGGUCUCCAGGAUCGCA
rnacentral:lncRNA from 1 species